rnacentral:miRNA from 1 species
AGGCAGUGUAAUGUUAGCUGA